rnacentral:misc_RNA from 1 species
GAUGAAGAACGCAGCGAAAUGCGAUAAGUAAUGUGAAUUGCAGAAUUCAGUGAAUCAUCGAAUCUUUGAACGCACAUUGCGCCCCCUGGUAUUCCGGGGGGCAUGCCUGUUCGAGCGUCAUUUCACCACUCAAGCCUCGCUUGGUAUUGGGCAACGCGGUCAGCCGCGUGCCUCAAAUCGACCGGCUGGGUCUUCUGUCCCCUAAGCGUUGUGGAAACUAUUCGCUAAAGGGUGCUCGGGAGGCUACGCCGUAAAACAAACCCAUUUCUAAGGUUGACCUCGGAUCAGGUAGGGAUACCCGCUGAACUUAAGCAUAUCAAUAAGCGGAGGA